UGAGAUGCAGUUUGUCAGAGAUCAGCUGUUCUGCUCUGGCCUCAGCUCUGAAGUCCAACAUCCAUCUGAAACAUCUGAACCUGAGUCUCAACGAUCUGAAGGAUUCAGAGAAGCUGCUGAGAGAUCUUCUGAAGAGUCCAGACUGCAGACUGGAGACUCUCAAGAUCAGAUGAGAGCCGAUCAGAGCCACGAUCCAGAAGACCUGUGACAGGAAGUGAAGACACACAGAAAGUUUAUUCAUCACGGGGCGAGUUUGAGACGUGAAGAGGAGCGUGGAGGCAUUUUGGAAAAUAAAGAAGAAGGCUGCAGCUGAUGAGAGACUUCCUGUUGGCUCUCCUCAAUAUGAAAUGAACAAAAACAAUCAAUUGUACUUAAAGCUUUUCUUAAGAAGAAAGAUGUGUUGCACAUACACCUGCUGCUACCUACCACCACCUCCCACCCAUCCCGGCACCAAAGAGGAGACUCCAUCGACCCCAGAUACCCCAACUCACUCUUCUUCAGGUUAGCUUGGAGCCCCGCCUUUACCUGCCCCAUCACCUCACUUUGAACGAUGUA